rnacentral:lncRNA from 1 species
GGCGUAGCCCGCGACUAGCUUCCUCGAUGAGCUUUCCGCCUCCGUGGCAGUGACUUUAUCGCUCUAGGCCGCUGAUCAGCCGCAGUCUGCUACAUCGUCUUCCUGGACUUCCCACCAAUCGCCACCGCGAUUUUUGUGCAGCCACCUUGCGGUGAAUUGGAAAUUCGAGAUCCACCUCUGCUGCGAUCUACUGCAGCUCUUAGUUCGAGAAGACUAGCAAUACUGGCUGGUUUUCCUUUAUUAUUAUUAUUAGUUAAAAUGUAAUAAAACGGAAUACUCUUUAUUACCAACUUCCUCACCUCUACUACUCACUAUAUAACAGCAAAAACAAAUAAGUGUAUCGAGCAUUCUGAUUCCUAUGCAACCAAUUUAACGCAAUAGGUUGCCUCCUAUCCACUACGCACAUGCCGUCAAUCAACCAUGCCGUCUAACAUGUAGAUUCAAUGUGCUUCAAAACCUCAUUGUUGUUCUUCUUUGACACCAUAGCAAGUUUGAAGACCGCUUUUAUAGUAGUCUGCCAACCGAGUUGCUUCCACUUGACGUGAAUUUUCUUGAAUUGCAUGAAAUCUCCAAGCUCCACACACCCUACACGAACAGCAU